AGGAAGAAAGGAAGGAAGGAAGGAAGGAAGGAAGGAAGGAAGGAAGGAAGGAAGGAAGGAAGGAAGGAAGGAAGAAAGAAAGAAAGGAGAAAAGAGAAAAGGAAGAGCAGCCACUAAUGCCACUGCCCAAACAUAGAAGAAAGGAAAUAAAAAUUAGUGUGGAAGUAAAUGAAAAGAGACUAAAAAUAAAAACUAAGAGCUAGUUCUUUGAAAAGAUAAAGAUGAUUAACUUUUAGCAAAUGCGUCAAGAGAAAAAUAAAUAAAAUAAGAAAUGGUGGGCUCUCUGCUCCUCCCCGUUGGACAGACAGCCGCAUCUUCUGGUGCAGUGCCAGCCGCGUCCCUGAGACACGAUGGUGAAGGUCGGAGUGUACGGAUUUGGCCGUAUUGGGCACCUGGUCACCAGGGCUGCUUUUAACUCUGGCAAAGUGGAUAUUGUUGCCAUCAAUGGCCCCUUCAUUGAUCUCAACUACAUGGUAUACAUGUUCCAGUACGAUUCUACCCACCGCAAAUUCCACAGCACGGUCAAAGCUGAGAACGGGAAACUUGUCAUCAACAGAAAGUCCAUCUCCAUCUUCCAGGAGUGAGAUCCCGCCAACAUCAACUGGGGUGAUGCUGGUGCUGAGUACUUGUGGAGUCCACUGGGGUCUUCACCACCAUGGACAAGGCUGGGCUCACUUGAAGGGCGGGGCCAAGAGGGUCAUCAUCUCUGCUCCUUCUGCUGAUGCCCCCAUAUUUGUGAUGGGCGUGAACCACGAGAAGUAUAACAACUCCCUCAAGAUUGUCAGCAAUGCCUCCUGCACCACCAACUGCUUGGCUCCUCUAGCCAAAGUCAUCUAUGACCACUUCGGCAUCGUGGAGGGCCUUAUGACCACAAUCCAUGCCAUCACUGCCACCCAGAAGACCGUGGAUGGCCCCUCUGGGAAGCUGUGGCAUGGCAGCUGAGGGGCUGCCCAGAACAUCAUCCCUGCUUCCACUGGCACCGCCAAGGCUGUGGGCAAGGUCAUUCCUGAGCUGAGGAAGCUCACUGGCAUGGCCUUCCAUGUCCCCAACCCCAACGUGUCAGUUGUGGAUCUGACUUGCCGCCUGGAGAAAGCUGCCAAAUAUGACGACAUCAAGAAGGUAGUGAAGCAGGCCUCGGAGGGCCCCCUCAAGGGCAUCCUGGGCUACACUGAGGACCAGGUUGUCUCUUGUGACUUCAACAGUGACACCUUUGAUGCCGGGGCUGGCGUUGCCCUUAAUGACCACUUCACCAAGCUCAUUUCCUGGUAUGACAAUGAAUUCAGCUACAGCAACCGGGUGGUGGACCUCAUGGUCUACAUGGCCUCCAAGAGUAAGAGCCUCCUGGACCACCACAACCUGAGUUUCUUGGACAUCUGCUAUACAUCCACCACCAUCCCAGUCAUGCUGAUGAACUUCUUCCGCAAAAAGAAAACCAUCUCAUAUGAAGGCUGCUUUUCUCAGACUUUUUUCCUCGUGACAUGCACUGGCACUGGAUGUGUUUUAUUGGUUGCUAUGGCUUAUGACCAUUAUGUAGUCAUUUGCCACCCCCUUCAAUAUCCGGUCCUCAUGAGUGUGAAGGCUGUUGCCCUUGAAUUGUGUUUGCACUCUGAGGAAUCACAGAACAGCUGCUUAGAGAUUACAUGA